rnacentral:rRNA from 1 species
GAUGAACGCUGGCGGCGUGCCUAAUACAUGCAAGUCGAGCGAACAGACUAGGUGCUUGCUCCUCUGUCGUUAGCGGCGGACGGGUGAGUAACACGUGGAUAACCUACCUAUGAGACUGGGACAACUUCUGGAAACCGGAGCUAAUACCGGAUAAUAUAUUUAACCACAUGGUUCAAUAUUGAAAGAUGGUUUUGCUGUAACUUAUAGAGAUAUCCCGUUCGCAUUAGCAAGUUGGUAAGUUAACGCCUUACAAAGCCAACGUAGAGUAGCCGACCUGAGAGGGGGAUCGGCAAAACGGGACCUAGGAAACGGCCAAGACUCCUACGGGAGGAGGCAGUAGGGAACUUUCCGAAAUGGGGGAAGGCUUGACGGAGCAAGGCCGCGUGAGUGAUGAAGUUCUUCGGAUCGAAAAACUCUGUUAUUAGGAAAGAACAAAUGUGUAAGUAAAUAUGCACGACUUGACGGUACCUACUCAGAAAGCGACGGCUAACUACGUG